rnacentral:misc_RNA from 1 species
UCCGGUUUAACACCGGCGGUCUCCCUAGAGUGCCCAACUAAAUGAUGGCAACUAGGGACAAGGGUUGCGCUCGUUAAGGGACUUAACCCGACAUCUCACGAUACGAGCUGACGACAGCCAUGCAGCACCUGAACCGUACGCUCCCGAAGGAGAAAGUCUAUCUCUAGACCUGUCGUACGUUGUCUAACCCAGGUAAGGUUUUUCGCGUUGCAUCGAAUUAAACCACAUGCUCCACCGCUUGUGCGGGCCCCCGUCAAUUCCUUUGAGUUUUAACCUUGCGGCCGUACUUCCCAGGCGGGGUACUUAAUGCGUUAGCUUCGGCACUGCGGGGGUCAAUUCCCACAACACCUAGUACCCAUCGUUUACAGCGUGGACUAC